ensembl:snRNA U6 U6 spliceosomal RNA
GUACCUACUUUGGCAGGACAAAUAGUAAAAUUGGAAUGAUACAGAGAAGAUUAGCACAUCCCAUGUACAAGGAUGUCAUGCAAAUUCCUGAAGGAUUCCAUAUUUAA